AAAGUCCCAUAUUUUUUGGAUUAAAAAUGAAAUUAAGAUGAAUUAAUCAAAAUAAAUGGAUUAAAGGAAAAAUCAUAAAAAAAAGAAUAUAAAAAAACAAGGGCCAUCAGAUUCCCCUCAUUAAUAGAGGUGGCAGAUUUGAUGGCCAAACGCCCACUAUCCACAAUGGUCCUUAGCCAAUGCGCUGCAGGCUUGGUAAUCACAUUGGACGCGUGAGAUUAAAAC
rnacentral:lncRNA from 1 species